rnacentral:rRNA from 1 species
CCUACGGGGGGCAGCAGUGAGGAAUAUUGGUCAAUGGACGAGAGCCUGAACCAGCCAAGUCGCGUGAGGGAAGACGGUCCUAUGGAUUGUAAACCUCUUUUGUCGGGGAGCAAAAAGGCCUCGUGAGGCCACAAGUGAGAGUACCCGAAGAAAAAGCAUCGGCUAACUCCGUGCCAGCAGCCGCGGUAAUACGGAGGAUGCGAGCGUUAUCCGGUUUUAUUGGGUGUAAAGGGGGCGCAGACGGCGAUGCAAGCCAUGAGUGAAAGCCCGGGGCCUAACCCC